rnacentral:rRNA from 1 species
UGCAUGAAGUCGGAAUUGCUAGUAAUCGUAGGUCAGCAUACUACGGUGAAUACGUUCCCGGGCCUUGUACACACCGCCCGUCAAACCAUGAGAGUUGGCAACACCCGAAGUCGGUAGUCUAACCGCAAGGAGGACGCCGCCGAAGGUGGGGUUGAUGAUUAGGGUUAAGUCGUAACAAGGUACC